AAAUGCAUAGGAAUGGUGACACAAAUACCAAAAUUUUGGGUGAUGCCGGUUAUCCUUCCGAGCCGUGGUUGCUCACGCCUUAUCGAGCUCCAGAACUAGAAAGUCCAGAAAGCGAAUUUAACAGCAAGCAUGUUUUAGCAAGGGGGAUAAUAGAGCGAACGAUUGGAGUUCUAAAAAAUCGAUUUCGAUGUAUCCUUGGUGCUCGUCAGCUCCAUUAUACGCCUACCAAAGCGGCAAAAAUUAUCAGUGUUUGCUGUGCCCUGCACAAUAUAUGUUUAUAUUUUAAGAACGACAAUGAUGAGGUUCAGUCAACUGAAUAGAUGUUUUAAAGUGUCGAAUUCCUAUAUUCUAGAUUUUAUAUACCCUUCAUAUAUAUGUUAAAUAUUUACAAAUAAAUAUUUCCUUCACUGACGAAAA